GAGCCGUUAGCUCAGCUAGGCAGAGCGUCAGACUUUUAAUCUGAGGGUCGUAGGUUCGAUUCCUACACGGCUCACCA
rnacentral:tRNA from 1 species